rnacentral:lncRNA from 1 species
CCUCCACCUCAUUUAUCUUAGGUAAUCCACCACGACUUCUCCACUCAUCAAUCUCAUCAAGGGCUUCCUCAUAGUGUUGCCUUACUUCUGCCAAUUCCAGUUGACUAUCUUCUAGCUUUUGAUGCAUGACUUGGAUAGUCAAAGCCAUCUCCUUUAGUUAUUCACUAUGCUCCAAGUAGGGGUCAGCCAUCACACAUUGCAAAGUGCCUGGUG